GUGCACGCUGGCGGUAGGCCUAACACCUGCAAGUCGCACGGCAGCACAGUAAGAGCUUGCUCUUACGGGUGGCGAGUGGCGGACGGGUGAGGAAUACAUCGGAAUCUACUUUUUCGUGGGGGAUAACGUAGGGUAACUUACGCUAAUACCGCAUACGACCUACGGGUGAAAGCAGGGGAUCUUCGGACCUUGCGCGAUUGAAUGAGCCGAUGUCGGAUUAGCUAGUUGGCGGGGUAAAGGCCCACCAAGGCGACGAUCCGUAGCUGGUCUGAGAGGAUGAUCAGCCACACUGGAACUGAGACACGGUCCAGACUCCUACGGGAGGCAGCAGUGGGGAAUAUUGGACAAUGGGCGCAAGCCUGAUCCAGCCAUACCGCGUGGGUGAAGAAGGCCUUCGGGUUGUAAAGCCCCUUUGUUGGGAAAGAAAAGCAGCAGGUUAAUACCCCGCUGUUCUGACGGUACCCAAAGAAUAAGCACCGGCUAACUUCGUG
rnacentral:rRNA from 1 species